GCCGCAACUGCCCUCGUCCCACCCCACAAGCUCCUUCUCCAGCGUCAGCGCUGUCGGCGGACGCAAAGGGGAGCCGGGGUCCCUUCUGUCACUUCCGGCGACGGAGACGCCUCAGAUUCAUCAUCUAUAAAACAAGCAAUUGUAAUCGUCUAUCCUCUGAGCUCAGUGCCGAGCAAGGACUCAGGAGGGGAUGUCAGUACUACCACUUCAUCAGCAAAGGACUGUUGUGAGGAUCAACCAUGACAAGACUGCAACUCCCAGAAGGCAGAGACUGCAUCAAUUUUAUCCACCACUGCAUCUUCAGCUUCACCUGGCGUACCUACAACCAGAAUGCACAAGAAGGGACUGUCAAGGAUCAGGGCUGCUUUUCUUUGGGUGACUUCCAUAAAAUGCACAGGAAAUCAACAUCAUGUUUCACUUCCUAACUCUGCAGCACGAGAAGGAACUGCGCUGGAGGUGUCUAUGCAGCUCUGUAACUCCCUGUACAGUGCCUGAGCAAUCCCAACGCUGAGUCAGAUCACCUGAGCACGGAGCUAGGAGGCGGCUUUUUGUCAUGACAUCACACAGGAAAGACUUGUGGCUGUGUGGAGGAAGGGGAACCGAAGAGUCUUCCUGUUGUCUAUCUUGCUGGUAUAUUUUAGGGACCCUUGUGGAAGCUCAGGAAUCCACUUUUAGAGACCACAGGGUAAGGAGUUGAGGAAUUAGAACAACUGCACAGAGAAAAGGAGGAAUAUAGGAGAUAAUUCACAGUAACUCCAACUGGGGCCUGGGGAUGUCCAUUCAAUAAAUAUUUGUUAAUGUUUACUAUAUGCCAAACACCAUGCUUGGUGUUGAUGGAUGCAAAUAAGAACCAUUAAGUUUAUCUUUAAGAAAAGACUAGUUCUUAAGUCCAGAGAUGCAGAAGAACCUGACACAGAUGAAAAGACCUAUGAGUCACAAAUUAAAUAAAAUGUCCACACAUUC